CUCAGUAACGGCGAGUGAAGCGGUAACAGCUCAAAUUUGAAAUCUGGCCGCAAGGUCCGAGUUGUAAUUUGUAGAGGAUGUUUCGAGCAUGGUCUGGCCUAAGUUCCUUGGAACAGGACGUCAUAGAGGGUGAGAAUCCCGUAUGCGGUCAGGUGCCUACGCUCAUGUGAAACUCCUUCGACGAGUCGAGUUGUUUGGGAAUGCAGCUCAAAAUGGGUGGUAAAUUUCAUCUAAAGCUAAAUAUUGGCCAGAGACCGAUAGCGCACAAGUAGAGUGAUCGAAAGAUGAAAAGCACUUUGGAAAGAGAGUUAAACAGUACGUGAAAUUGUUGAAAGGGAAGCGCUUGCAACCAGACUUGCGCGCGGCUGAUCAUCCGGGCUUCUGCCCGGUGCACUCGGUCGCGCUCAGGCCAGCAUCGGUUUUGGUGGCGGGAUAAAGGCCUUGGGAAUGUAGCUCCUCUCGGGGAGUGUUAUAGCCCAGGGUGCAAUGCCGCCUACCGGGACCGAGGACCGCGCUUCGGCUAGGAUGCUGGCGUAAUGGUUGUAAGCGACCCGUCU
rnacentral:rRNA from 1 species